CGGAAGGCUUAAUACAUGCAAGUCGAGCGGUAGUCCCCGUUCGGGGGAUGAGAGCGGCGCACGGGUGAGUAACGCGUACAUGACCUACCUUUAAGACUGGGAUAGCCCUGGGAAACUGGGAUUAAUACCGGAUGUGAUAAUACGUAUAGAGAUGUAUUAUUAAAGUUGAGGCGCUUAGAGAUGGAUGUGCGUCUGAUUAGCUAGUUGGUAGGGUAACGGCCUACCAAGGCUACGAUCAGUAGGGGGCGUGAGAGCGUGGCCCCCCACACGGGUACUGAGACACGGACCCGACUCCUACGGGAGGCAGCAGUAAGGAAUAUUGGUCAAUGGACGCAAGCCUGAUCCAGCCAUGCCGCGUGCGGGAAGAAGGCCUUCGGGUUGUAAACCGCUUUUGUCAGGGAAGAAAUCCUUUGGGUUAAUACCUCGGAGGGAUGACGGUACCUGAAGAAUAAGCACCGGCUAACUACGUGCCAGCAGCCGCGGUAAUACGUAGGGUG
rnacentral:rRNA from 1 species